rnacentral:rRNA from 1 species
CCCUUAGAUGUUCUGGGCUGCACGCGCGCUACACUGAUGCGCUCAACGAGUUUAUGAACUUGCCCGGAAGGGUUGGUUAAUCUUUUUAAAACGCAUCGUGAUGGGGAUAGAUUAUUGCAAUUAUUAGUCUUGAACGAGGAAUUCCUAGUAAGCACAAGUCAUCAGCUUGUGUUGAUUACGUCCCUGCCCUUUGUACACACCGCCCGUCGCUCCUACCGAUUGAAUGUUCCGGUGAGCUCUUCGGACUGCGCGGUCUGCAGUUUCUGCGUUCCGUGCGGAAAGUUGCGCAAACCUUAACAUUUAGAGGAAGGAGAAGUCGUAACA